rnacentral:rRNA from 1 species
AUUGAACGCUGGCGGCAGGCCUAACACAUGCAAGUCGAACGAGUGGCGGACGGGUGAGUAAUGUCUGGGAAACUGCCUGAUGGAGGGGGAUAACUACUGGAAACGGUAGCUAAUACCGCAUACCAUCGGAUGUGCCCCGAUGGGAUUAGCUAGUAGGUAGGGUAAAGGAGCACCUAUGCGACGAUCCCUAGCUGGUCUGAGAGGAUGACGAGCCACACGGGAACUGAGACACGGUCCAGACUCCUACGGGAGGCAGAAGUAGGGAAUAUGACAAAAUGGGCGAAAGCAUGAUGCAGCCAUGCCGCGUGUGAAAAGAAGGCCUUAGGAUUGUAAAGUGCUUUCAGCGGGGAUGCGUUACCCGCAGAAGAAGGACCGGCGAACUCCGUGCCAGCAGCCGCGGUAAUAC